UUUUUUUGUUUUGUUUUGUUUUUUGCUUUUUUAGGGCCGCACUUGCAGCAUAUAGAGGUUCCCAGGCUAGGGGUCUAAUUUGAGCUACAGCUCCUGGCCUACGCCACAACCACAGCCACGCCAGUUCUGAGCAGCAUCUGUGACCACAGCUCAGGGCAACGCUGGAUCCCUAAUGCACUGAGCGAGGCCAGGGAUCAAACCUGCAUCCUCAUGGGUGAUAGUCAGAUUCGUUUCCUCUGAGCCACGAUGGGAACUCCAAUCGGAGUAAUCUUGGUCUUGGCAUCUGAUGAUUGUCUUUUUUUUUUCAGGUUGUGACUGUCCUGUCUUGGUGUGGUGAGUGAUUUUCUAUUGUAAACUGGACAUUUUAGGGGAGUUCCUGUUGCGGCUCAGUGAUAAUGAACCUGAUUAGUAUCUAUAAGGAUAUGGGUUCGAUCCCUGGCCUUGCUCAGUGGGUUAAGCAUCCAAAGUUGCCGUGAGCUGUGGUGUAGUAUUGUGGAAAGUAGCAUAAUGUCUUUUCUAUCAAAGGAAAUCUUGGUGACUUCAUUUUGCUCCUGUUCACCUUACUGUGACCACCUGCCCCCCCCCCCCCCCCCCCCCCGCCCCAAUCUUUCUCGCUUCUCCCUGGAACAAUCUGUUUCAAAUUAGCCAACCAGGGAGCCUGUGCACCCUGACCUGUCCUAUGGGAAGGGGACAGGUACAUCACCUGCAUUAGGGAUAAGUAGGAGAGGGUCCUUAGUUCGGCGCGUGCAUUUUUUGGAGUGCCCGCACCCUUGUGCAGAAGUAAAGAGACUUGUCGAGAUCUCCCCAUGUUCAUGUGUCUCGUUUUUCGACAUUGAUGAUCCGAGCCAUGUCCCCAACAGUAUGUAGGUCCAGGUGGGGUGGUAGUUCAGCUCCCUUUUGGGCCCUGCUGAAGCCGCCCUGGUGUAAGGGGAGCACAUGGCCUUGGUGCCUCCAGAUGAAGAUAGAAGUUCAGGUCCACACUCUGCCCUACUGACAUCGGGGCCGGGGAGUGCAGUGCAGCAAGCAUUUCUUCACUAUACCUUUUCCCACUGUUUCUGCUGCCAGGUGGGAACAGAGGCUCAGCUCCCUCCUGGAGUCAACUUUACUUUGAUUAGUAUAUAUGUUACUCUGAAUUCUUUAUAUCUUACAAAGAACCCAUUUGAUAGGGACCACAACCUCCUCACAGUCCAAACAGGGCAUUUGGGAAACACCACCUUCCGGAAGAGAAGAUGCAGUGGUAAGGACCUAGCGAGCCUCCACGUCCCAUCACUCUAAUGGCUUUCCAUUCAUUUUCGAUGUAAUAAGCUGUGUUUACAGUUAUCUACUUACAUGUCCUUCAGAGUCAAAACUAAUCGUGGGAUUUACUUUCUUGUGUAGUGAUUUGCUUUUCCUUCUCUUUUUCUUCUUCCCUCCCUCUUUCCUUUCCUUCCUUUCUUUCUUCUUCUUUCCUUCUUUCUCUGUCUCCCCCUCCUUCCUUUUUUCCUUAUCAAUAAAUAUUCAUUAAGUACCUGUGGUGCCCAGGCACUAAGUUCUAGGAAUGUAGCAGUGACCACUACCCACAAGAAAAGAUCACUGUUUUGUGGUGCAUAAACUCUACUGAAAAGACUCAGAAACAAGUAAUAAAAUAAAUCUGUAUACAAUUUGAAAGAACAAAAAGUCCUAUGAGAAAAAAUAAUGUGAAAAGGCAAGAUGGUGAGGAGGAAGAUGCUUCUAAGGCGGUUUCAUUUGGGCUGAGUCCAGAAGGAUAAGAAGGAACCAGCUCCGUGAUGAUCUUGGUGAUAAUCUCUGGCUCAUUCAACCCUCUGCCUCUUUUGCAACUACACCUGUGCUGCUGAACAUGCCUAGAGAAAAAGUUCAGCUGCACUGAAUGCUCUCCCCUUAGGGUAGGACCACAAACUUCCAGGGGGCUCAAUGCUACACAGGAAUCAGGGUGGUUCUGAAAACAUGGUCCCCAGACCACAUCAUCAGUAUCACCUGGGAGCUUGUUGGGAAAUGGACCGCUCAGCCCCCACCCCAGACACACUGAAUGGGAAAUCCUGGGAAGAGCAUCCUCAUGGAUACUAGUCAGGUUCUUAACCUGCUGAGCCACAACGGGAGCUCCCAUAAAUAUGCCCGCAUGUAACUUUCAAGUCCAUAUGAGCAUGUGUUUCUGUAGGGUGUCACCUGGCCAUGGUUUUGCUGAUCAGAGAGUAGGUGUACCUUUAGACUUAUUGGAUUUUGCUGAUUUUUAAAAAGUGGUUUUACCUGUUUACUCUUUUACCAGCAGU
rnacentral:lncRNA from 1 species